UACGUAGGGGGCGAGCGUUAUCCGGAAUUACUGGGCGUAAAGCGCACGCAGGCGGUCUGCUAAGUUUGGAGUGACAGUUGGUGGCUUAACUGCCAAAGUGCUUCGAAAACUGACAGACUUGAGGGCUUCAGAGGGACACGGAAUUCCGGGUGGAGUGGUGAAAUGCGUAGAGAUCCGGAGGAACACCAGAGGCGAAGGCAGUGUCCUGGGGAGUACCUGACGCUCAGGUGCGAAAGCCAGGGGAGCGAACGGG
rnacentral:rRNA from 1 species